AGUGAACGCUGGCGGUAGGCCUAACACAUGCAAGUCGAACGGCAGCACAGUAAGAGCUUGCUCUUACGGGUGGCGAGUGGCGGACGGGUGAGGAAUACAUCGGAAUCUACUUUUUCGUGGGGGAUAACGAAGGGAAACUUACGCUAAUACCGCAUACGACCUACGGGUGAAAGCAGGGGAUCUUCGCACCUUGCGCGAGUGAAUGAGCCGAUGUCGGAUUAGCUAGUUGGCGGGGUAAAGGCCCACCAAGGCGACGAUCCGUAGCUGGUCUGAGAGGAUGAUCAGCCACACUGGAACUGAGACACGGUCCAGACUCCUACGGGAGGCAGCAGUGGGGAAUAUUGGACAAUGGGCGCAAGCCUGAUCCAGCCAUACCGCGUGGGUGAAGAAGGCCUUCGGGUUGUAAAGCCCUUUUGUUGGGAAAGAAAAGCAGCAGGUUAAUACCCCGCUGUUCUGACGGUACCCAAAGAAUAAGCACCGGCUAACUUCGUG
rnacentral:rRNA from 1 species